rnacentral:tRNA from 1 species
GUAUCGGUAGCUCAACUGGCAGAGCGUCGGUCUCCAAAACCGAAGGUUGAGGGUUCGAUUCCUUCUCGAUAUGCCA